UUAUCCGGAUUUAUUGGGCGUAAAGGGCUCGUAGGCGGCUCGUCGCGUCCGGUGUGGAAGUCCAUCGCUUAACGGUGGAUCUGCGCCGGGUACGGGCGGGCUGGAGUGCGGUAGGGGAGACUGGAAUUCCCGGUGUAACGGUGGAAUGUGUAGAUAUCGGGAAGAACACCGAUGGCGAAGGCAGGUCUCUGGGCCGUCACUGACGCUGAGGAGCGAAAGCGUGGGGAGCGAACAGGAUUAGAUACCCUGGUAGUCCACGCCGUAAACGGUGGACGCUGGAUGUGGGGCACGUUCCACGUGUUCCGUGUCGGAGCUAACGCGUUAAGCGUCCCGCCUGGGGAGUACGGCCGCAAGGCUAAAACUCAA
rnacentral:rRNA from 1 species